rnacentral:rRNA from 1 species
UAGGGAAUUUUUCACAAUGAGCGAAAGCUUGAUGGAGCAAUGCCGCGUGAACGAUGAAGGUCUUCAAGAUUGUAAAGUUCUUUUAUUUGGGAAGAAUGACUUUAGCAGGUAAUGGCUAGAGUUUGACUGUACCAUUUUGAAUAAGUGACGACUAACUAUGUGCCAGCAGUCGCGGUAAUACAUAGGUCGCAAGCGUUAUCCGGAUUUAUUGGGCGUAAAGCAAGCGCAGGCGGAUUGAAAAGUCUGGUGUUAAAGGCAGCUGCUUAACAGUUGUAUGCAUUGGAAACUAUUAAUCUAGAGUGUGGUAGGGAGUUUUGGAAUUUCAUGUGGAGCGGUGAAAUGCGUAGAUAUAUGAAGGAACACCAGUGGCGAAGGCGAAAACUUAGGCCAUUACUGACGCUUAGGCUUGAAAGUGUGGGGAGCAAAUAGGAUUAGAUACCCUAGUAGUCCACACCGUAAACGAUAGAUACUAGCUGUCGGGGCGAUCCCCUCGGUAGUGAAGUUAACACAUUAAGUAUCUCGCCUGGGUAGUACAUUCGCAAGAAUG